GCGGACUGGCCGGUUCGGUUCGUGUCCGUUAAAAGCAGAGCUUUUACCGGAAGACCUGGAUCGGCCGGAGUCGUGGAAGCCGCUUUUAAAGCGAAAGAGCAGAGUCCAUUGCCUCAAGGAUUAAUGCUAGACAAUUCGCAAGAAUUAGCUUGGCAUGGUUUGAGAUGUUCUCCGCAGGAUGGCAAGCAAUCCUACUUUUUCAUCUAUGGAUCGCGCAUCUUGAAGAGGUCGCCUGUACUCGCGAGAGGUCGAAUAUCGAAAGUGUGGAAGUAGUCCCGUGGCUAUCGGCAUGCCCAUGAAGGCACACGUAAGUGUUCUGAACCAUCACACUGUUUUCACGCCUAAGCAGAGAGGGAUUGCCUUCUGCGGUAACGACGUCCGUGUCGGGCUACGUGGCCUCAACUCGCCUCAACUCCCCUCGGCACUAGCCAGCCACAAUAUUCGUAUCUUAUUACUUGAAAGCCCGAGACCUUGAACGAAGACGCAUGAAAUUUAUUCACAGUGGUGGUCGGUUUUGUGUUGAGGCUUUCGGAAGGUAUGCGUUUUCGUGGGAUCUGUGAGCAAGCAUCAAGAAGUCACUUCACAAAGGACAGGGGGGGGGGGGGGAAUUCUGUCACCGUUCAGCGCUCCAUUUGUCGCACGCUAAGUAAAGCCAACCUAUUAAGACGUUUGCGGCUGCGUCAGCUUCGGCUUUUCUGAAUUAAACGGUGUUCAGGGCAGAACUACGUGCUGUUUAGGCUCGAGUCUUCUGGAAUUGUGGUCCAUGGGCGGCGAGCACCCUUGUCCUCCAGACGAUGCAUUGUUACCGGCUCUGAAGCUUGCUAACUCUCAACAAAAACCUCGAGCCGACAGACAAGCCGUUCGAGACACCGUUCAUCACGCGGGUGUUGACACACGUAGACUGCACGAGAACGAUGUCCCCAGAAGGUGUCGCAGCUCGUGGAUAUUUCGCGUAAAACAUAACUCUUCGUGGAACGCUGCCAAAGCACCCCCAUACACGUUUAUAUUGAGCAGGUAGAGGCUAUGCUUAUUUCCAUUUGAAAUGUGAUGCGUGUCAGUUUGAUCUGUCACCAACAUCGCGCAGAAACCAACCCAACGCGCAAUAUCACGCCACUAAGUGCCGGAGGAGGCACUUUCCUCCUCGCGUUUGACAAGUCUGCUCGUAACCAGGGAGGAAGGAGGACUUGCGCAUUAUGCAAACGUCUGAUGCUCUUCAAUUGCAGAGUGCCCAUCGCUACAGGCGGAUUCACAUUGCUGUCCCCACGGAGUGAUCACAUGCAGCGAAGAGUAGCCAUGGUCGCUCGCGGGGCUCACUAAAAUCUUAUCGAACCAGCCAAAGACGCCUUCAGGUGAUUCGGCUGCCACAUUGUAGUGGCUUAGCUGAAAUGCGUUUCCAUGAAAUAUGUAAAGGUGUGGC
rnacentral:lncRNA from 1 species